rnacentral:rRNA from 1 species
AUUGAACGCUGGCGGCAGGCCUAACACAUGCAAGUCGCACGGUAACAGGAAGCAGCUUGCUGCUUCGCUGACGAGUGGCGGACGGGUGAGUAAUGUCUGGGAAACUGCCUGAUGGAGGGGGAUAACUACUGGAAACGGUAGCUAAUACCGCAUAACGUCGCAAGACCAAAGAGGGGGACCUUCGGGCCUCUUGCCAACUGCUGUGCCCAGAUGGGAUUAGCUAGUAGGUGGGGUAACGGCUCACCUAGGCGACGAUCCCUAGCUGGUCUGGAAGGAUGACCAGCCACACUGGAACUGAGACACGGUCCAGACUCCUACGGGAGGAAGCAGUGGGGAAUAUUGCACAAUGGGCGCAAGCCUGAUGCAGCCAUGCCGCGUGUAUGAAGAAGGCCUUCGGGUUGUAAAGUACUUUCAGCGGGGAGGAAGGCGAUAAGGUUAAUAACCUUGUCGAUUGACGUUACCCGCAGAAGAAGCACCGGCUAACUCCGUGCCAGCCGCCGCAGUAA